rnacentral:rRNA from 1 species
GACGAACGCUGGCGGCGUGCUUAACACAUGCAAGUCGAACGGAAAGGCCCUGCUUUUGUGGGGUGCUCGAGUGGCGAACGGGUGAGUAACACGUGAGUAACCUGCCCUUGACUUUGGGAUAACUUCAGGAAACUGGGGCUAAUAUCGGAUAGGAGCUCCUGCUGCAUGGUGGGGGUUGGAAAGUUUCGGCGGGUGGGGAUGGACUCGCGGGUUAUCAGCUUGUUGGUGGGGGAGUGGCUUGCCAAGGCUUUGACGGGUAGCCGGCCUGGGUGGGUGACCGGGCACAUUGGUACUGAGGUACGGCCCAGACUCCAACAGGAGGCAGCAGUGGGGAAUCUUGCCCAAUGGGCGCAAGCCGGAUGCAGAAACCCCGCGUGCGGGAUGACGGCCUUCGGGUUGUAAACCGCUUUCGCCUGUGACGAAGCGUGAGUGACGGUAAUGGGUAAAGAAGCACCGGCUAACUACGUG